UUUUUAGGUUUCCGUUGAUUUUUUUCCCUGCUUUGUUUCACUAGAGCUGAAGAGGGAAAUCGAAGAACAAACCGCCGCCAGCUAGGAUUUUUUUCUCUCCCCCAUUUCCUUCCCCAACCGAAUGAAAUCGACGAAAACCGUGCCUACGUCGGAUUUUUUUCUUCCUCGUUGAUUUCUUCGGUGAGCUACAGUUACCUCCUUCACAUCGCUCCCGCCAGAAACUCCCGCGAUCUUUGUCCCUGUAUUCGAAGAAAUUUGCCCCUUUUCUCUCUCUCUCUCGGCAAGCUAGCGAGCGAUUAAUUAUGGGUCCCUGAAUUCUACUGAAGGCGAAGAUGAAGGCGAAAACGAGAGGCAUCGAAGAGCGCGGUGAAGGCAACGAAUUCAACAAGGAAGCAGAGCCCCUAGGAAGCGGCAGCUACAGCGAUAAGGAUCUCAAGCAAGCAUAAUCGUCAUCAAUUUAUGUUUUUUUAAUGUUAUCUGAGUAAUUUUGAGGAAAGACUUGUUAUUAGGGUUUUGGGGCUUGAUGUCGGCAGGGGUUUUGUUGGUGGAUCCCACAGCAGGAAGAAAAAAGAUGAUGCCAAAGCCAGUUGAGGAACGAAAAAUGCUCUAUCCUUUCCAGUUGAAGGAAUCAGGGCUUGUUCAUUGUUGCUUAAAUUUCUUUCUAUGAAUGAGGUUAUGUAUGCACCAGGUAUGAGUAUGCUAAACAUCUUCAAGGAUAGCCCCCUGAGCACAUCGACCCUUGAUGAUUUCAUGUUUUAUGAAGAGCGGCAGAAGAUUAUGCAGAAAGAGAAGUGUAGAUUUACAGGAAGAAGCUACGAAACUUAUAUACCUACAAUUGUUUCUGCCGAGAAGUCCAGUGAUUCAGCUGGGCAGAGUGGUUCCUCCAAUCAGAUUGCAAAAUUGGACGGAGGUCAAACGAGUGUAACAUCUGGUCAACCUCUGAAUGCUGAUGUCGAGCUAACUGAGUGUAGAAUCUAUUGUUACCUUUCUGAUAUUCAUGUUUUUGUGUUAACUCUGACCCUGGCAUUAAGCUCAAUUUGGCAGAGUUUAUUAUUCACCAAUUGUUGUUUCUCCGUUUAGCUCUUGUGUUAAGGUGAUUGGUCUAGAGUGAUGGGGAUAUACUUUUUCUUCUUUGUUUUCAUUAUUUUAAUGUGGAAGUUUACAUAAUGUAAACUCUUCUAUUACUAUGUUACAACAUCGACAAAUCCAAAUACAAAUGCUACAAUUAUUCUCUUUUAAAUUUGAA